rnacentral:rRNA from 1 species
CCUACGGGAGGCAGCAGUGGGGAAUAUUGCACAAUGGGGGGAACCCUGAUGCAGCGACGCCGCGUGGGUGAAGAAGCGCCUCGGCGCGUAAAGCCCUGUCAGCAGGGAAGAAAAUGACGGUACCUGAAGAAGAAGCCCCGGCUAACUAAGUGCCAGCAGCCGCGGUAAUACGUAGGGUGCAAGCCUUAUCCGGAUUUACUGGGUGUAAAGGGGGCGCAGGCGGCGUUGCAAGCCAGGAGUGAAAGCCUGGGGCCCAACCCCGGGACUGCUCUUGGAACUGCGUGGCUGGAGUGCAGGAGGGGCAGGCGGAAUUCGUGGUGUAGCGGUGAAAUGCGUAGAUAUCAGGAGGAACACCGGUGGCGAAGGCGGCCUGCUGGACUGCAACUGACAUUGAGGCCCGAAAGCGUGGGGAGCAAACAGGAUUAGAUACCCGGGUAGUC